rnacentral:tRNA from 2 species
GCCCGGAUGGCGAAAUCGGCAGACGCAGCGGACUUAAAAUCCGCGACCCGCAAGGGUGUGGGGGUUCAAGUCCCCCUCCGGGCACCA